UCUCCUGGUUGUACUUUCCGCUGCGGGCGCUGCGGUGGCCUGGUUCGGUUGAGUCUUCAAGUCGUCGACUUUGCGCGGUGCGCUAUUUGUCCCGAGGGCAGGAAGAAUUCGCUUGGUCUCAUUCGGGACUUGCUGAGCAUCACGACGCCAGGCAUUCCUGUUGCCGGGUGUUGUACGGUCCCGGGCUAUGGGCGGAACUGGCCGCAGGUCUGGUCCUGUAGGACCCUAGUUGAGCGAGAGGACAGAGCAUUGGCCUCCAGGAGUGGGGAUGGAUGCCGGACCUGAAGUUCCUGGUCUGUUCUGGCUGACUCUGGCUGGAGUUGCCCCAAGAGCCACAGCAGGAGAGACCAGGCUGGCCUCGAACUCAGAAAUCCGCC